AUAUAAAUGGCGAACAUAGUUACGCUAAAUUCAGCGGUGCCUGGAGAAAUUAUGAAAAGAGCUUAAUGCACCAAACCUCUUCGAAUGUCUGGCACGAUAACACAACGAAUUAGCAGGUUGUCAUCAAAUAUUUUGGUAGCGAGCGGAAAUUCUUAGAGCCCCCAGGGCUUCUUGUAUUAUGCUUCAGAACAAGUCCAUUGACGUCUUUGAAGGAAUUCAUAUGAUUGAUGCCUUAAAAAGUGCUGCCAUACCCGAAAUCGGAUGAUGCUUACCAUGACAUUUGGUGUGAGAAAGCUAUAUUUUUAGCUCAAAAAGUGUGUUACUCCUGCAGAAUCUGGGACUUUUGGCCGUCAAAGAAAGAGGUCCAACAUUCCUGCUGAUAACAUUUCAGAAUAUUUCAAACGGACAACAACUAUUCCAAUGUUGGUGCUGGAGUUUAUUUUUAAGUAAGAUGCGCUCUCUCAUCAAAAUUUAAGUGAAUUAAUUCAAUAGUAAGGUUAUAAUAAAAUAUUGGUAAUAAAUAGUAAAAAGUAAUAGUGGUAGUGUCGUAAAUAAUUAUAUAAUAAGAAAUACUCCCCCCUUUUUUUUGGUGAUAACAAACCUGCUUGAUUUCAAAAUGUUCCCUGGGCUCAGUAACUUCGCUGACAGUACCUGGGUCAAGGAGCAACUAAGUUUUUUUCUUUUCUCCAUUGAUGAUUGCGAUUGUGAUUGCUAUAAUGACAUGAUUAAUCCAUACCUUCCUUUUGUUAAAUUUUUCACACAUUAGUUAUAUACAAAUUGUAACAAAACAGGUAGCUGUAAUGAUAAUAUUUUUGCAAGGAUUUUUUGUAAAACACUGACCAUACACUGUUGUAUGGUAGUAACAAAACAGGUAGCUGUAAUGAUAAUAAUAUUUUUUAAGGAUAAAUACACUUAUUCUUAGC